rnacentral:piRNA from 1 species
UAGCACUACAGAGUUCCCAUUCAUC